UACGUAGGGUGCAAGCGUUAAUCGGAAUUACUGGGCGUAAAGCGUGCGCAGGCGGUUUUGUAAGUUUGUCGUGAAAUCCCCCGGGCUCAACCUGGGAAUGGCGAUGAAGACUGCAAGGCUAGAAUCUGGCAGAGGGGGGUAGAAUUCCACGUGUAGCAGUGAAAUGCGUAGAGAUGUGGAGGAACACCGAUGGCGAAGGCAGCCCCCUGGGUCAAGAUUGACGCUCAUGCACGAAAGCGUGGGGAGCAAACGGG
rnacentral:rRNA from 1 species